UUUGGGGUAGAUGGGAGGUGGGAGGUGGGAUGGGAAAAGAAUAAAAGUUUUAGGGGAAAAGUGGGAGGGAGUAAAAAUUUUGGGAGAAAAUAAAAGGUUUUGAGUGUUUUUGGGAGUAAAAUUUUGGUGGGAAAUGGAUUUUGGGUAGAUUGAGGGGUUGGAAGGGGAGGGGAGUAAAAGUUUUGGGGGGAAAGUGGGAAGGAGUAAAAGUUUUGAGGGAAAAGUAAAAAAGUUUGGGAGUUUAGGGUAAAAAUGUAAAAUAUUAUAGUUUGAUAUUCGAAUUAUUCGAAUUAUUCGAGUUAUUCGAAUUCGAAAAUUCAACUCGAUUCUAACUCAAAAUUCGAAAAAAAAUCAAGUUGAUUCGAAUAACUCGAU
rnacentral:lncRNA from 1 species